rnacentral:rRNA from 1 species
UACGAAGGGGGCUAGCGUUGCUCGGAUUUACUGGGCGUAAAGGGCGCGUAGGCGGACAGUUAAGUUGGGGGUGAAAGCCCGGGGCUCAACCUCGGAAUUGCCUUCAAUACUGGCUGUCUUGAGUGUGAGAGAGGUGUGUGGAACUCCGAGUGUAGAGGUGAAAUUCGUAGAUAUUCGGAAGAACACCAGUGGCGAAGGCGACACACUGGCUCACUACUGACGCGUGAGGCGACGAAAAGGCGUGGGGAGCAAACAAGG